UUUCUAUUUUGGUUUUUAAAGAAGAGUAUCUAAGGAACUUCCCCUUUGGCCAGUGAGAUGCUGAGUCAAAAACUGGGAGCCCAAGGGAUCACCUUCGAUAGCCCCUGGUCCUGUGGAAAAACAUAAAAUCUACUUAAAUGAGACAAAAUGCUGUUGCUCGUAGGGAGCGUUUCAAGAGACAGGUGAGCUGGGGGACUUAGCCAGCAACCCCUGGAAGGUAUCUCCGAUGAGGACCAUUUGGACAGUUCAGAUGGGGGACCGUUCCAAUCCUCAUUUGGCAGAUGAUCACCAUAGCUCGGAGGGGAUAAGAUGAGAUGAAGGUCAGCCCGCUACAUCUGCAGCAGUCAGAAUGGAAGAUUGUGUCACUAAUCCGGGCCGGAGGACCCAGAAGCUGGGCAUGCAUGAGAAACUGGCCAUGGAAUUUCAUGAGCGCAAACUAAUGUAUUUAAAACAAAAGCAUGACAUGAAGAUGCAAAUCCCUCAUGUUGAGUUGGCUAUGAAGGAGGAGGCGAGAAACAUGAAGCAGCAGCAGUACCAAUGUUCUUCAUGUUGAGUUGGCUAUGAAGGAG
rnacentral:lncRNA from 1 species